AUUUGAAUAUAUAUUUUUAAAAUGUUUGGCAUCACAUUAGGUCCUAAUGGAUUAGAUUCUUUCUCUAAAAUAAGAUUUAAUCAACUAUGGCUCCCUUUAACUCAUUACGCAAUUAAAUGCAUCAUGAUGUACUCGGAAAUAUUAAGUGCUUGGUUGUUUGGAUUUAUUCAAAAGUCUUGCUGUGCUGCGUCUUUGGACUGAAUUCAAUUCAUGUCAAGAAGCAGCUUCAACAAAAAUCAAUAGAAAGAUACCAAAGAAAGUGAUUAAGGUAAGGUACUUCAGGACUUUAGAUUAAUAGACCAAAAAGAACACCCUAUUCUGAAAAUUUUGGGUGAAAUUCUCCAUAUAGACCUUACAAGGGCCUUGAAUAGAUUGUUUACCAUUACUAACUUAAGGUCCUAACCUGUGAUUACCUGUACAUCCCUUUUACAGCUUUCUAAGCUAAGUAAAGCCACAUGGUUAUCACUUAAAAUUUAAGAAUAUGAAGGUUUUUAAAUAGAAUGGUGAAAACUUGUAGCAGUAUAGUUAUUUUUUUGUACUUCAAUGUUUGUGUGAGCUAGUCCCUGGGCCAAUGAAAUGCAGUAGUUUUGGGCCACUAUCUGGCUAAAGGGGGCAGUUGUAAUGGUGGUGGCAUGGCAAGUAAUUAAGGUUCAUCUCAAAUCAAGCUUUACUUGUUCUUUUAUUGCUGGUGGGAGAUUGGGGCUUGAAUCUUCGGUUGUAGUUUUAGUUAUCUGUAUAUGGCACAGAUAAAGGUUUUUGAGUUGAUAGGUGGAGCUAAAAGCUAACUCAGAGGUAUAGUCAGUUACAUAGAGCAAACCUGUUGUGGAAGUCCAAAGCUAAACCUUGUAAAAGACCAUGCGAAUUGAGAAGGUUACACCUUUAAAAAUUUGAGUGUGUGGUAGAUUUAGGUUUUUAGUUAUUUUCAUUGGAUAUUAAUUCAGUUGAAGUCAAACAUCUAAUGACUCUUUUAGUUAAAACAUAAAUAUAGUGAAAUCAUUGUGGAAGUAUACUAUUUUAGUUGCGAAUUGUUUACUUCAUUUUAGAGGCGUACUUUUCAUAUUCCAUAGAACCACUGAUUACUCUAGAAGUUUAUAUUUGUAAUUUUUGUUUUUCAUAUUUAUUUUAAAAUAAGUUUUAAUGAUUGCCAUGUGGCAUUUGAUGUGACUGCUCAUUUGGAGAGGAGAGGAGAGGAGAACGUGCCUUAACGGAGCAUCAAAGCCAAUUGUUUGGUCCUGGCAUAUCAGUUUAAACUUUUGGUUCAAUGGUUCUUAGUUUAUGGAAUUGAAACAUAUAUUGUCGUUGCAAUUGUUUUACGUGAACUACUAUCUUCUAAUUGAAGUCAAGCACACUUUUAGAUUUUGUGGUCUUUUGUUGUGGUAGCAUAUAGCCUGUUCGUUUGAAUGUUCUUGUGCAUAGGAUCCUUAAUUCUUGAAAUUAGGUUUUACCUUGUGCCUUGGGCUUUUGUGUGGGCCGUGAGUUACAGUAUAAACUAAUUGGUUGGUCCUUACCUAUUAGUGUAAGCUUAUAUAGGUUUAAUGGUUCACCUGUACAUAACCUUGUUCUUUGUCUAUAUUUUUUACAAUUAUUUCAAAUAACAGAAACUUUGUUUUCAUAACGGGUUUCUUUUCGUGCGAACAAAGUUGUUUUUGAUAUUAAUCUGCAAAAUAAUGCUUUGUGCUUAAUUACUGUCUUAAUGAUUUGUGGCUUGACCUAUAAGCCUAUGGAUGACUUGGUUUCUGUGGCAUUAGAUAGAAAAUUAGUUUUUGUUGAUGGGUAGCAGAGAGCUUCUCUUCCAUUUAUUAAUUAUCUUUAGGUCCUUAAAAUGUAGGACAAACUAGUUAGCUAAGACAUGCCUGCAUCACCUCAAUGCCUUCAAAACCUCAAUUGGGAUCUUGUGAGAUCCUACAAGCCAAAAUAUCUUCAUGUUUUAUACAUGUGCUUCUGCACUUGAGUACAUGUCUCUAAAGAUACUUAUUAUUGUUUUCUUCUUUCCUUUUGUUUCAGAAGACUUUAAUACCCCUUCGGUUUCAACAGGUCAAAGAGUUUAAACUUUCUAACUGUCAUUGAAAAAUUUAUGUUUGUUUUAAGUUUAAAGAGUUACUUAAUUAUGUCAUUUCACUUGGGAGUUGGAAAAUUACCUAGAUUCAUAAACUUUAAAUCCCUUUUCGUACUUGUCUCCAGAUAUUGUUGAAAGAGGGGUACAGUUUGCCUGCAGUUAGCAGUUGACUAACUUGUGAUUGUUGAGCAUCUGUUGAGCACAAUAUUUAUCUGCAUAUUAAUUUAAGGAAAAUAACAUGUAUAUUUUCUUCAAGCUUGUGCCUUACCUUGUUGGAAGUUGUCCUGUGACUGAUUUGUACCUGGCGGAUCUUAUCCUCGUGCAUUUAAUGGAUAAUUGGACAUAAGUAUUACUUUAAUUUUCUCAUCUGGGAGGGCAAGCCAAAAUUUCAUGUUUAGUGCUGCAAUAAAUCCAUGUGAUUUGUUAGUCAGAUGCAAUGUGCAGCCUAAGAUUAUUGAAGAAAAUAUUACUUACCUGAUUCAUAGCUCUGAAGGGGUACUUUCCGGACUUCCCGCCUCCCAAGCAUGCCACUUCUGGCAUUUAUAACUGUAUGCCUGUUUUCCUAACAGCUACCAGCGGCUCCCUCUGCACCGAGCAUGAGAACUGUCCUUUACCUGGCUGCUUGGAAUUAGCUAUUCUAAUCAUGCGUAUGGAGUGUGUUUCAAAUUUUAUGAAUAUCCACAUUUCUUCUAGAUCUUUUUCUUAUUUUUCUUAGGAUAUCGCUUGCUGUAUGGUUAGAACUUUCUUCCCGGCCUCCCAGGUCCGCUACGGUGUUUAUACUGCUGCUGAAUUCUAUGAAGAGGAGGUUGGGGCUGGCUUAACUGGAGACAAACAGGUGCGUGCAAAUCAUAUCCACUGUUCAAAGUAUAAUUUGGGUGUGAGCUUCUGCUAGCUUCAUUUGCUUCCCUUGUUUCAUAAACCUGAGACCCAAAAUUGCACUCUUUAGAAGUAUCAAUUAGAAAAUUCUUCAUUUGCUUAAAUUCCAAGAUUAUUCACAGGCCUUUUGGCCUAUUGGUAUUAGGUUUGUCAGACUUUGGUGCUAUUACUUUCAUGAGGACCAAGGAAAAGAGUUUUUAAGGAAGCGUGAGUCAUAGGUGAGUAUGAGAUAUUCUUAGCAAUUAUCAAAUUAUCUGGGCCAGUACCUUCUUUUGAAGUUCAGUAUUUUCUUGGCGGAUGAGGUCUACCUUCUUAUACAGUUCUAGAUUCUCCUGAUGAAUGAGGUGUCCCUGCAAUUCAACAAAUGAAAGUUGCUCAACAAGAAAAUAUAUGAAAAUCUGAAAAAAAAAAAUGCAGCAAAAACUUCCAAGAAACCUUGUGGUUUAGCUCUUUGAUUUCGUCUGUUAGAAUUUGGUCCUGCGUGGAAAAAUAACAGAGGAGCAACUGCAUUAAAUAUUAUCAUUUGGUCUUGAAUGUUAUAGGUUCUGUAGAUCUUUGACACUUAAACCGGAUAGUUCUUCUCCCAUCAAUUUCCUGCAGCACAUCACAGUGGAAUGUUACAUGAGCAUUUGUUUAUCUUAUGGAAUGGAAAAUCCCAUAUGUCAUGUUUUAAAGGUUCUUAUCUACCAUCAAGAGUGUCCUAUCAAGAACUUUGUUAAUAAGAGUGUUUUUUAAGUGAUACCAUUUUUAAUAUCAUGUAUGUAUGUCAUAUAGUAGAUACAGUUGCUGUUGAUUUUGUGUUUUAUGCUAUCUAGUCCUUGAAAAUUACUGUUUGGUUUGUUUUAAAAUAAUACAUGAGAUCAUUAUCUUAGGAUGUAGAAUUUGGCAACAGUGCUGCAACAGAUCAGAUCCAUUGGCAAUUGAUGAAGAUGGGAGACAAAUUUGGGAUUGGGCAACCAGGCUUGAGUUUUCCUAAGUGCAGUGUGUAAAAAAUUCACCACUCACAAGUAAAUGGGUCAGAAAUCAAGAUUAGAUUUUGGCUUGGACGGAUUUUUCCACUUACUACCCAAAGCCUGCUGGUGAAUACUAUAUUUCUUCUGCAACACUGAGAGCACUUGCUCUGCAGGUAGAAGAAAUUUGUUAAGACUUUGUUGUAGACUGCACCAUCUAUUUAAUAUCGAAUUUACUGUGACAAUGCCCAUAUUUGCUUGCUAACCUUUUGUACGGAGGACGUUUGAAAGAAUAAUGAUAUUUUCAUGCUAAGUGUUUUAUCUUCCUAUAUGUCUAUAUCUUGGACGGCCCUAACAAUAUCAUGAUACAGGGUAAUGCCAAUUGAUUGCAAGGUAUGUCUCAUGAAAAAUGAUUAUAAGCUAUUUCAGAAAAACAACCACCAAUGUACUAAGUGCAUGUUAAAGCAGUUGAGUAGAUAGCCUUGUUAAUCUGAAAAAGCAUGCUCUGAAGUUGUUUAUGCCUUCAUGAAUCUGACUUUAGACUAAAAAGAGAUACUUGAUCCAGUAAUGCGAAGCAAGGAAACUUUAAGAUUGCCUCUUGGAGUAGUGUACUGACAUACUAGAGGUAAGAAGUAGUGGAUUUUGCUGAACUUAUUGUAGGAUGUUGCUUUAGAUUUAGAGCAGAGGGUGGCAGCUUACACAUAGGAACGACACUAGUUGGCUAGAAGUUCUAGCUUUGGAGUCUGUUGAACAGAACCUGCAGACGUGGGGGAAAAACAUUUGUAAGUGACUCUGGGUACUCUAUAGGGAGGUUAUGAUAUUUGACUUGUAAUGGUACUUCAGAGAGUAUUUAACAGUAUAGGAUCUCAGUGGGGCAAAGGACACUCUGUGCAAUUUAAACAGUGAGUAUGAUUUUCUUGAAGAUCCUAAAUUCUACCAAUAUCAUCAAGGAUGGUUUGAUAGAAUAGCUCAAUAUCUUGCAUCCCUUCCAAAUAUUUUGAGGCAUCCCUUAGGUGGUUGCUGUAAUUUUUACGUUCGACAUUAAUAAAGAUUGAUAUGCUACAGCUGUCUGGAAGAUUCAAGUAUGGAUGCCUUCUAUUAGCAUAAUGUUGCUAAAAUUUCAUCAAGUAGUUGCUCCUCUACUUGUGGAAAGAGUUCUGGUUCCUCAUCAUGCUAUUUGGUGGAAAAUCAUGAUGAUGCAGCGGAAAUUCAUUUUAGAGUUGACUUGAGGCACCACCAAUGUACUAAUUUGGAGACACUGAGAGGGUUCUAGUGAUAAGUCUUGUCAAGCUUCUAAAUGUCAUGAUGGUUUCUAAGAUCUUUGAAGUUACCUUUGACUGAGGAAGAAAUACUGGGAUGGUUUUCUAUAUUGAUGGUUAUACUAAAGGAUAUACUCAUAUACUCGGAUGGUUUUCAUUUUCCAUUAUGCUGCAGUUUUCCUCAGACAUUUUUUUCGUUUAGAAGUGCAAGAAGCUCCAUUCUUAAGCUGAUAUCCGAGAUGUAGCUGAAGUUUGAAACAUUUUUGUGGCAUCAUUUCUCCUCUAUCUCAUCUGGCUUGCUAUAGGCACUAGAAUUUUUCCUCAGCAUUAUGACUGGCUUCUAUACACACCUUACAAUGUUCCAUUCAUGUACCUUUGGGCGCACAUGCUAGGAACAAUGCUUUGUGUUCCAUGAGAAGUAACGGUAGCCCUGUGUGCUAUUUUUGUAAUACAUCUUGCUAUAAACUUGGUAUGCAUAGGCAAAAUCAGUUAUGUAUACUUAUAAAUCUCUUUGCUUCGUCUGACCUGUUCUAUUUUGAUAUGUUGACCUAUACUCUUUAAACCAAUUUCCAGCAUCAAGGAUGUAAUUCUUGCUUUACAGUUUAUCAAAUGAUAGUUGAGUGAUAUUCCAAAGCCCUCAAAUAGGAAAGCUUAAGUUGCAAUAUUCUAUACACCUGAUAGAUCAAUUGAAACAAAUUAACUUUUGGUGGAUUUAUGUUACAUAACUUGCUACUUACAUCAUCUGUUCCUUAUUCUGCAGAUGCAAACAGAAAGGCAUUAGCUCUAGGCCUUACUUUGUUGCAAGCAGAUUUUUAUGCUAUGCACUAGAGGAUAGGGAUUUUUCCUUGUCUUUGUGGGGCAGCAUCUAUGUCUUAAUGAUAUUUUGUGGAAAAUGAGAAGCUGAGGUCCUUAAAUGACUAUUGAAGAUUGAAAGAUAAUGGACUUCCUAUUAUCUGGCGGCAUGACUUUCCAUCCAAUGGUCUUUGUCUUCCCUUCCAUGCUUCACUUGAUGAUAACAAGGUAAUCCAGGUUUGUUUCUUCUCUUUUUCUUUCUUUUCUUCGAUGGUCCUCCUUUGGAAAGAAUGCUGAAUAUGAAUGUCAGCAUCACAAGGCCAUGGUUUCACUGUUUUGUUGGGUGAUACAUCCAAUUUAUGCCUACGUUUUGUAGUUUUCCAUGUACCUAUUGCUAUUUUACUAAGAAAGUUGAGACCUCCCUAGGGUGAGGAAAAUGCCUUUGACUUUGAGGCAUGGAGUCACAAUGUUAGAAGGUUUCUUUGGAGCCAUAAAAUCUAAAAACCAUGUAGAUGAUCUCACUGAUCAACCGUACUGCUACUAAGAUAAAAAACACUUCAUCUUUCUCGUGUACGCUGAUGUUUAUUAGACCUUUUACCAAGACAGUAAUUUGCUACUUCGCCACCUCAACUGUUGUUAUGCUCAAAGUAUAAUGAAAAAUUCAGCUAGAAAAAAUUGAAAAAACCUCAGUGAUGGCUAAUGACUGAGAAAUCCAAGCAUAAUGAGACAUGCAAAAAUAUUGGGUAAACCAAGAAGUGAAGUUGAACGGUGCAAUGAGACAAAAGUCGUGUGUAUCCUAGGAUUUAUGUUUUUAAUUUAAAAGGUAUGUCUAUUAGGAAGAUAAAAGUCUUUAUUUAUAUGUUCAAAAUUCAUUUCUUUUCUUACUUAUAUGAGAUUUAUGCAACUUUUUUCUUUGUAUUUGUUUUUAUAUGUAGAGGAAAGACUCACUUUAGUUAGAGUUUAUCUCGAUUUUGGUAUCUCUUAUGAGGAGUUUUACGUUAGUGAAGUGUUAAGGUCUAAUAUCAUUUGUCUCGAGGUUAUACUUUAAACUCAAAAAACAUGUUUAUUAAUGAAGGAUGAGUUUCGUAAA